rnacentral:lncRNA from 1 species
GCGGCGCCUAUCGGCGGCAGCGCGCGCUGAGCCGCGGGCGCCCGGCGGGCACCGGGAGCGGCUCCCGGGGCGGGCGGCGACCCCCGGCCAGCGAGCGGCCCGCGGCCACCGCCACCCGCCGGCCGGCGCCCGGCACCGCCCGCCUGCCUGGCACCCAUCGCCGACCACCGCCCGCCCGCCGCCCGCGGUGCGGGCGACCCCGGCGCCGUGCAGGAAGGCUUCAGGAGACUGGGAGAAUAAAAGGACAGUUUUCCUUUGGCCACUUGUCGUGUCUGGAGAUACCUGCUGGGGCAGGAUUUGGGGUGAACACAACCUGGAUGAACAAGGCGGAUCUUUGUGCAGCUCCCUCUUCCCAUGAAGGCGUUCUCACGUCACACUGAG